rnacentral:rRNA from 1 species
GACGGAGGAUGCGAGCGUUAUCCGGAUUUACUGGGCGUAAAGCGUGUGCAGGCGGGCCGUCAAGUGGUGUAUGAAAGCACUGGGCUUAACCCAGUGAUUGUAGGCCAGACUGACGGUCUGGAGGGCGAGAGAGGGGCGUGGAAUUCCGGGUGUAGUGGUGAAAUGCGUAGAGAUCCGGAGGAACCCCAGAGGCGAAGGCGGCGCCCUGGCUCGCACCUGACGCUCAGACACGACAGCAUGGGGAGCGAACGGG